UACGGAGGAUGCAAGCGUUAUCCGGAAUUAUUGGGCGUAAAGCGUCCGUAGGUGGUUAAUCAAGUCUAUUGUCAAAGCCUGGGGCUUAACCCUGGAGAGGCGGUGGAAACUGGUUAACUUGAGUGCGGUAGGGGCAGAGGGAAUUCCCAGUGUAGCGGUGAAAUGCGUAGAUAUUGGGAAGAACACCAGCGGCGAAAGCGCGCUACUGGGCCAUUACUGACACUCAUGGACGAAAGCUAGGGGAGCGAAAGGG
rnacentral:rRNA from 1 species